AAAAGGUGAGACAAACGUGUACGGCAGUGGCACAUGCACUUAUUCCCUUAAUCCGACAGAGUUUGAAGUCAUAUGGGAAAGGCAGCGAUUGUGAAAUCUGGAGGAUAUCUACACUGGGUGGUGAAGGUGACAGCAGAAAAUCAAAGAAAUCUUAGCACUAAGGCAACAGUGUAACAAAAAAUACAUGUCAGCUCUCCAUGGCCAUGCAGAUUAUCACUCAGAUAAGAGUGUGAUAGACGCCUGCUCAACUAACAGCCCAACAGUGGAAGUCUCCCAGCUAAAAGUGCAACAGGAACUGAAUGACUACAAAAGGAACCCACGGCAGAAGGAAUGAGCUAGCUGAGGCCCUCCACAACAGUGAUCACUCAAGAUGGGCCCA